ensembl:lncRNA
GGCGCGCUAGCGGAUCUAGUCUACUAUAUAUAGCUAUGGUUGGCAAGCAUCUCUGGCUGUUGUUGACCUUGUUUUUGGAGUAAAACACGGUGGAAGCUGAAUUAGUGAGGAUGACUCCUGCUCCUGUCAUCUCUAAGCUCCUCACACAUCUUUACCUGCACAUGAGGAAAAUCACUCCUGUAGAAUGCAGAUGUUCAGAGGGAGAUGAUGCCACAUCUGGUCCAGCCGAUGGAAGGUCUUGAAGUUCUCCGACUGGCCUCGACUGAAGAUGGUCGUCUCACUGGAUUUAAGGUUCAGAUGCUCAGUAACAAACUCCACCAAUGAGCCAACAGGGAAGCUUUAGGUUUAUUAAAUGUUGCUAUGAAGGUAUCGCUGUUUUUCUUUGUGAAUGCAAUGUGCUCCAACUGAAAGUUGAAUUAGAACUUUGAAGUAAAUCCUUCCAUCUUAAAGGAUUUAGUUGCAUUAAUAACCUCAUAACAUUCUAAUUUUUAUUCCAGUCUUGGUUGGAAAUAGAAUCUCUGUAUUGAUUCAGGUAAAAACUGUACUUCACAGCAUGUUGGAGCAAAACAACCAGAUGAAAACUGUGAUGGUGUUGGAUUGUCAGACCGUAAUGUUGCAGCGCAAAGCAGCUUUUCUAGCUCAGUUCAUUCUGACAUUCAGCUAUGAAUCAACACAGCAGAUGGUGAUCCAUGCUGUGGAAGUCUCACAUCUCCUGAUUUAAUGGAGCUGCUUUGCACUUUUUACACUGUUUAUUCACCAACACUUUAUUUAAUAAAAGUCCCAUCUAGUUUUUAUGAGGAAUGUGGUGUUUUAAUUUCUCUGUGAAUAACUGCAGUCUAAUGUAACACCUGGAAUUGUAACAUCUGUCCUGAUAUUGAUCAUGAAGUAUUGAUCAGAAUACUUAUGGUUAGCAGUCAUCCCUGAAGUUUUACAGUAAAAUCUUUACUUGUGUUGUGAACUUUGGUAAGAAGCAGAAACUUUUGCGUUGCCAUGGAUACAUGAGUGUUAAAUUCUGUCCAUGGUUCCAUUUUGGGAAAUGAAGUCCAGGAGAUGAGUUUGUUUUUACUGCCAGCUACCAUUCAGUCUGAGAUAUUAAGAAUAAAUAAAUUAUUCCUACAGCUACUACAGGGAAAGUUCCAGACUGUGGAGGAAUUUAGUCUCAUAAUCACAGACAACAAAUAUUAUCUGAAAGUCGGGUUAUUGUUUAUCAGCACAAUACAAAAAGAUUAAUGUUAGAAAUAUUCCGGUUAAGACUCUAGAAUAUCAUGAUUUAUGUAAAUUUACCUCAAUAAUAUGAAUGUUCAGGUUAAGUUUGUGCACUGAUAUUUAUUAUGUAAGUUUAGCUGAUUAAAGUUGAUGACUCUGCACUACAAUAUUAUUUAUUAUUUAAAUUUACAUCAUUAUUAUAUUUAGGGUCAGACCCUACAGUAUUGAGAUUAAGAAAUCAAAUAUUCUAUAAAAUGUAAAUGCACUGAACUCAUUUGGAUAUAUUUAAGUGAGACUCUACAAUAUUAUUUGACACAAAUCUAUCUAAAUCAAAAUUUUAAUCAUUUUUACUCCAAACGUUGACUAGACUGAAACAUUAAAAUCACUCCUUUCUAAUACUCUGCUGUAUGUUCAAACCUGAGGCCUGAAAUAGAAAUGUACAAGUAUCUGAUUGAAGGAACUUCUGCAGAGUCCUGGUUCUAGAACAUGAUGAUAGAAUUAUAGACAAACUUUAACAAAAGCUGCCUGAGAGUUUACAGGUUUUUAUGUUAGAUUUCUUCUGUAAUUUAAUGAGUUAUCAGCAAUAAUCAAGUGUUUAUUUGAUGAACUUCAUUUCCUAAAACAUCCAGAAUUGGAGCUCAUAUCUUUGGCAGCUGUAAAGUUUCUGCUCCUUCAAAGUUCACAACACAAUGAAUGAAUUCCUAAAACACUCUUAAUGCUGGAGAGCGUUUGUGAUGCUGAAGCAGUGAUCAGUUUUUCUGUUUCUUCUCUGGAGAUGCACAAUGAGGGACGUCUGCAGAGACUGAGAAAGAGUCUCACCACAUCCUGACAUGAGGAAAAAAGACUUUAUUGAAGACUACAAUGAGAAAAACUAUCAGACAGCAGACGGCUGCAUUCAAGUCUGUAGCUGCUGAAUUCAUGGAUGAAUCAUCUGGCACUGGAGAAGAAGACCAUCAAACAUCCACGUCAGCUGAUGGAGGUCCAAGAGUCUCACCAAACAAACAACCUACAGAGUGAAGACCUCGAAUCUGAUUGGACGGCCUCCUAUUCAGCCACAUGCUACAGGAGGAGCCCUACGAGGACGAGCCGGUCCACCUGAUGGCAGCCAGUCGCUGUGGUUCAAAGCCAACACCGACUACGUGGACUUCUACUGGACCACACGGAGGCCUUCAAACCAGACCAACAAGUUCAGCGACUCCCCGACUCGUGGGUCUGAGGACGCCACCGAGCCUCGACCCAGCCGGCCUCCUGUCUGUGGAUGUUUGAGUGCUGAGAGGUUUGUGGAUGCAUGUGAAUGUGUCUGUGUUGAAACAGCAGCUUUGGACUCAGUAACGCCGGGAAAAACCAAGAGCUCCUUUAUUUGUGACUUCCACUAAAAAACUGAUGAAAAUAAGUUUGCCAGGGUUCUGACUGAUAAUAGAUUAUUAAAUAAUGAAAAUAACAGUUUAAAUAUUCCUUUAAACAAUCCUUUUAGGUCUACAUUUCCUUUACACUGACUUCUUGGAAUAUGUACAAGUAUUUUGAGUGGACUAUACCAUUAAGCCCAACGUUCAAGGGUUCUUCUGGGAAUAUACCAUUAAACCAACCUUUUAGGUAAAUGUUCCAGGAUGUUGGGUAGAAUAUACCAUCAGAUAAACCUUUUAGGUCUACAUUGGAA